rnacentral:rRNA from 1 species
UACGUAGGGGGCAAGCGUUGUCCGGAAUCACUGGGCGUAAAGCGCACGUAGGCGGCUUUUUAAGUCAGAGGUGAAAUCCUGGAGCUCAACUCCAGAACUGCCUUUGAUACUGAGAGGCUUGAGUCCGGGAGAGGUGAGUGGAACUGCGAGUGUAGAGGUGAAAUUCGUAGAUAUUCGCAAGAACACCAGUGGCGAAGGCGGCUCACUGGCCCGAUACUGACGCUGAGGCACGAAAGCGUGGGGAGCAAACAGG